GAUGAACGCUGGCGGCGUGCCUAAUACAUGCAAGUCGAGCGAACAGACGAGGAGCUUGCUCCUCUGACGUUAGCGGCGGACGGGUGAGUAACACGUGGAUAACCUACCUAUAAGACUGGGAUAACUUCGGGAAACCGGAGCUAAUACCGGAUAAUAUAUUGAACCGCAUGGUUCAUUAGUGAAAGACGGUUUUGCUGUCACUUAUAGAUGGAUCCGCGCCGCAUUAGCUAGUUGGUAAGGUAACGGCUUACCAAGGCAACGAUGCGUAGCCGACCGGAGAGGGGGAUCGGCGACACGGGAACGGAGACACGGUCCAGACUCCUACGGGAGGCAGCAGUAGGGAAUCUGCCGCAAUGGGCGAAAGCCUGACGGAGCAACGCCGCGUGAGUGAUGAAGGUCUUCGGAUCGUAAAACUCUGUUAUUAGGGAAGAACAAAUGUGUAAGUAACUAUGCACGUCUUGACGGUACCUAAUCAGAAAGCCACGGCUAACUACGUG
rnacentral:rRNA from 1 species